CGUGCGGGUCUUCGGGGGUUCCUCGGUGGGACUGGGAAUGGGAGCGGGACCGGCCCUUCCCGGCCUGGUCAUGGCGAAACUGAGGGGCCCUUCGGUGGCGGGAAGCCGGUGCUGGCCGAGAAGGGCCCGCCCGGGCAGGGCCGCGCUGCCCUUCCCGCGCCAUGUUGUGGCGAAGCUCCCUGAGGGCCGGUCCCGCUUCCCCUCGGCCCCGGCGCUGAGCGGCCCCGGCGGGGGGACGUGAAGGGAACAGUGAAGCCCAUCAGCAGGCAAAAAGUGAAGGGGCAGAGAUUGUGUGUCUUCAGAAGAGAAGGGUGAUGCUUCACACAAAGGCUACCCACCGAAUGCCUUUGUAACACUGCUUUCCAAGAGACAAAGCCCUGUGACUGGCAGAGCAGGAGGUGUCCCAGAGCCGAGUUCCUCUCGAGAGCAGGGCUGAGUUCUGGAAUGAUCUUCAAAUGUCAAAGGUCAUGGCCUGAGUUUCAGAAUUCCUAACAAAAGUGGCAACAGCAAAAGAAGUGAUUGGCAGUGUCUGCAUGUGAAGAUUCAUGGAUUCCUCAAAAGCUGAUCAUCUGUGUUUUCUCUACAUGGCUAAGAAGGAUUUUUAAAAAAAGGACUAAAUAAAGAUGCCACCUACCAUAAGUCUGAAUGGGGCUCGUGUAGUUGUAGCACCCCAAGUAACACUAUUUUUUUUAACCAUUCUAGGAUUUAAGACUUCUGUUUGUAGAUCUGGGAGCUGGGAUGGUUUUGUACUUCAUGGAAUUAAAGCCUCUGUGGGAAAUCUGGAGGAGGUUUGACUGCAAAAUAGCUUUGCCUUUACUCAUUCUCUCCUAUGUUCCUGUGUAGCUUGUAAACCAUGAGCACUGCAAAGAAAGACUUUGUGCUUUUUAGGGAUGAGCAAAACUGUGCUUUUGGGGUUUUUGAGUCAUCAGUGAUCCCUGGGAGUAUCCAGUGCUGUGGGAUCUGUGGAUCAACGAUGGUGAUGGGACAAGUUGUUGUCAGAAGUGUUUAUUUCAAUAAAUUUGUCAGGUACAGGAGCUGCC